rnacentral:rRNA from 1 species
CACGUAGGGCGCAAGCGUUGUCCGGAAUUAUUGGGCGUAAAGAGCUCGUAGGCGGUCUGUUGCGUCUGCUGUGAAAACUCGGGGCUUAACCCCGAGCCUGCAGUGGAUACGGGCAGACUAGAGGUAGGUAGGGGAGAAUGGAAUUCCCGGUGUAGCGGUGAAAUGCGCAGAUAUCGGGAGGAACACCGGUGGCGAAGGCGGUUCUCUGGGCAUUACCUGACGCUGAGGAGCGAAAGCAUGGGGAGCGAACAGG